GAUGAAGAACGUAGCGAAAUGCGAUAAGUAAUGUGAAUUGCAGAAUUCAGUGAAUCAUCGAAUCUUUGAACGCACAUUGCGCCCGCCAGUAUUCUGGCGGGCAUGCCUGUUCGAGCGUCAUUCAACCAUCAAGCCCCCGGCUUGUGUUGGGGACCUGCGGCUGCCGCAGGCCCUGAAAAGCAGUGGCGGGCUCGCUGUCACACCGAGCGUAGUAGCAUACAUCUCGCUCUGGGCGUGCUGCGGGUUCCGGCCGUUAAACCACCUUCAUAACCCAAGGUUGACCUCGGAUCAGGUAGGAAGACCCGCUGAACUUAAGCAUAUCAAUAAGCGGAGGA
rnacentral:misc_RNA from 1 species